GAGGGUAUAGCUCAGGGGUAGAGUGUGUGCCUAGCAUGCACAGGGUCCUGGGUUCAAUCCUCAGUACCUCCA
rnacentral:tRNA from 1 species